rnacentral:misc_RNA from 1 species
GGAAUAAAAGUCGUAACAAGGUCUCCGUUGGUGAACCAGCGGAGGGAUCAUUACAGAGUUGCAAAACUCCCAAACCAUUGUGAACGUUACCUAUCCCGUUGCUUCGGCGGGCGGCCCGGGCCCCGCGCCCGGCGCCCCCCGGCCCCCCGUGGGCGCCCGCCGGAGGUAAACCAAACCCUUGAAUUGCAUGGCCUCUCUGAGUCUUCUGUACUGAAUAAGUCAAAACUUUCAACAACGGAUCUCUUGGUUCUG